rnacentral:lncRNA from 1 species
AGGAGCUAAAUGUUAAUCACCAAGACAAAGUCAAGAAUUGAGGUUUGGGAGCCUCCACCUUUAUUUCAAGGAUGUAUGGAAACACCUGAAUGUCCAGGCAGAAGUUUGCUGCAGGAGUGGGGCCCUCAUGAAGAACCCCUACUAGGACAGUGCAGAAGGAAAAUGUGGGUUUGGAGCUUCUGGAAAAGCUGCAGACACUCUGUUCUAGCCCGUGAAAACAGCUGGGUGGGAGGCUGUACCCUGCAAAGCCACAGGGGUGGAGCUAUGCAAGUUCAUGGGAACCUGCCUCUAAUGAGCAUGACUGGGAUGUGAGACAUGGAGUCAAAGGAGAUGAUUUUUGGAGCUUUAAGAUUUGGCUGCCCCACUGGAUUUUGGACUCUUCUGGGACCUGUAGCCCCUUUGU